ACGUCCCUCCCACUCUGUGUGACGACCCUCCGUGUCAGUAGAAAGGCCUCUUUAGUGUCCUAAGUUUUCAUAACUGUGACCUUAAUUGCCUACCGUCUGUAAGCUGUUGGUGUCUUAACGACCGUUCAACAGGUGCAUGUUCAUUCAUUGUUCAUGGUUCAUUGAACAAGCCUGGGAAACAGUGUUCAAACCCUUUACAAUGAAGGUCUGUGAAGUUAUUUGAAAGACGACGUUUCUUCUUUCUGCUGAGUUUAUAGUAGUCUUGUCCCAGGCCAAGUGUGUGUGUGUAUGUUAUCCAGGUGUGUGUGUUACCCAAGUGUGUGUGUGUAUGUUAUCCAGGUGUGUGUGUUACCCAAGUGUGUGUGUGUAUGUUAUCCAGGUGUGUGUGUUACCCAAGUGUGUGUGUGUAUGUUAUCCAGGUGUGUGUGUUACCCAAGUGUGUGUGUGUAUGUUAUCCAGGUGUGUGUGUUACCCAAGUGUGUGUGUGUAUGUUAUCCAGGUGUGUGUGUUACCCAAGUGUGUGUGUGUAUGUUAUCCAGGUGUGUGUGUUACCCAAGUGUGUGUGUGUAUGUUAUCCAGGUGUGUGUGUUACCCAAGUGUGUGUGUGUAUGUUAUCCAGGUGUGUGUGUUACCCAAGUGUGUGUGUGUAUGUUAUCCAGGUGUGUGUGUUACCCAAGUGUGUGUGUGUAUGUUAUCCAGGUGUGUGUGUGUAUGUUAUCCAGGUGUGUGUGUGUAUGUUAUCC